AAUCAUUCCCGGAUACGAUACCCCACAAAGAAAGCGAGACGACGAGACGGGACGAGACGAGCGACGGAGGGAGAGGUAGCGGAGGAACGCGCCACCGGCUUCAAGCAAGCCCUAGCCCUAGGCGACGCUGCGGCGAAGGUUUCGAUUCCCGUUCCUGCUUUGUUGCUCUCCUCAGCCCGCAGAGACGCGCAACCCUGGUUGCUCCAAUCGGUUCCACGGCACGGCACGGCUCGGCCAUGUCGACCAAGAGGGUUCUUUGCAAGUUCUUCAUGCAUGGAGCUUGCCUGAAAGGAGAGUACUGUGAGUUCUCCCAUGACUGGAAUGACCAAGCAAAUAAUGUUUGCACAUUCUACCAGAAAGGUGCAUGCUCGUACGGUAGCCGUUGCAGAUAUGACCAUGUCAAAGUUUCUCGUAACCCCACAGUUCUGCCGACACCAUCAUCCUCAAGUACUGCACGUGUUGCAUCUACAUCCCUUCAAAUGUUAAGUUCAGGUCAUCCUCCUCGCAUGGGACACAAAACAGAUUCAAGCAACCAAACAAAGCAGAUACCUAUGGAUUUGCUUGCACAUUCUGCAAGUAAGCCUGCAUGGAGAAAUGAUUUUCAGCAUGACACUGUUUCAGAGGAUGGGAUUGACUGGUCAUCCAAUCGAACUGGGCAAAACCAAACAUUAGUGAAACCAGCUGAUAUGCCUAUUUGUUCUUUUGCUGCUGCUGGUAAUUGCCCCUAUGGGGAAGGGUGCCUUCAGAUGCAUGGAGAAUUGUGCACAACUUGUGGGAAAAUGUGCUUGCAUCCUUAUCGUCCUGAUGAGAGAGAGGAGCAUAUCAAGUUAUGUGAGAAAAACCACAAGCGCCUUGAAGCUUUGAAACAGAGCCAAGAGAUAGAAUGCAGUGUCUGCUUGGAUCGUGUGCUCUCGAAGCCUACUGCUGCUGAAAGGAAGUUUGGACUGUUAUCCGAAUGCGAUCAUCCUUUCUGUAUUGCAUGCAUCAGAAAUUGGCGUAACAAUUCUCCUGCAUCUGGUAUGGAUGUGAACUCAGCACUGAGGGCUUGUCCAAUAUGUCGCAAACUUUCAUACUAUGUCAUUCCAAGUGUUCUUUGGUACUUCUCGAAGGAAGAGAAAGAGGAGAUCAUUGACAGCUACAAAUCCAAGCUCAAGUCUAUUGAUUGCAAGUACUUCGAUUUUGGGACAGGCUCUUGUCCCUUCGGGACAAGCUGUUUCUACAGGCAUGCCUACAGAGAUGGACGCUUGGAAGAGGUGAUACUGCGUCAUCUUGAUGCUGAUGAUGGAAAUACAGUAAUUGCCAAAAAUAUUAGACUGUCGGACUUCCUCAGUCGGUUGCAUCUUUAGGGACCUGCAGCUGUAUAUAUAUCAAAUGCAAUAUUUUGAAGAGAGCAGUUUAACUUGAGGCAUCUUCAGGCUUUGUCUCCAUUUAGUGGUGGUUGCUUUGUCGCCAGUUGAACAAAGUGCAGAAUUUUUGAAGUUUUCUGUGGCCCUUCACUAGCUCGAUGACCUUGCAGAAGAAGCACCAUUGACCUAAGGACGAUGUAAAAGAUGUCCGAUCACAGUUGUGCUCAACGUCGAAGCAGACCUGUUUUAAAACUUUGCUAUAUGUUGCUGGCCUUCAGGGCUACCGGUGAUUCAGUAGAACAUUUACUGGCCAUCAAGCAAAAAGGAGACGUGUAAAAUCCUUACCUUUCCGCAAUGCUCCUUUCCCUAUUGAGGAAGGGUCCCAUACCAACAGGUCAACUGAGGCCAUUUGGCAGUAUUAUGACUUAAUGUACGGCAAAAAUCUGUUAAUGGAACACAGAAGGAUUGUUAUACUGGACGAAUGAACAAUACUGGAGUAAAUUGUAGAUCCCCAUGAGGCACGAUGGCAUUUUUGCUUGAGACAUCAAUUUCUGGACCUUUUAGGAGGGACUAACCACCUGAACGCAUUACUCGAAGCGUGCCUGAAGAUGGGCUUAACCAUCGUUUGUAUUUGACUUCGCAUGCUUUCCAAUCAAACAACUCAAGUGGUGUGAUUGUAUAUGUGAAUUUUUUUUCAUGUAACUUCUAGGACCACGAUUCCAUUUUAUUUCCCUGACCCAAUCUUGAGUUCGUGACAA